rnacentral:rRNA from 1 species
GCUUAACACAUGCAAGUCGAGCGAGAAUCGUUUUGCUGAAGGCUUCGGUCUGACGCAGAAUGAGGAAAGCGGCGAACGGGUGAGUAACGCGUGGGCAACCUGGCCUUAAGAAAAGGAUAGCCCCCGGAAACGGGGAGUAAUACUUUAUGAGAAUGAAAGAGGGCAUCCUACUUUCAUUCAAAGCGCAAGCGCUUAAGGAUGGGCCCGCGUAUCAUUAGCUAGUUGGUGAGAUAACAGCCCACCAAGGCAACGAUGAUUAGCCGGUCUGAGGGGGCGAACGGCCACAUUGGAACUGAGAGACGGUCCAAACUCCUACGGGAGGCAGCAGUGGGGAAUAUUGCGCAAUGGAGAAGAACUCUGACGCAGCAAUACCGCGUGAGCGAAGAAGGUCUUCGGAUCGUAAAGCUCUGUUAUCAGGGAAGAAGAAAAUGACGGUACCUGGUGAGCAAGUCCCGGCUAACUACGUGCCAGCCGCCGCAGUAA